rnacentral:rRNA from 1 species
CUUGGUCAUUUAGAGGAAGUAAAAGUCGUAACAAGGUCUCCGUUGGUGAACCAGCGGAGGGAUCAUUACCGAGUUUACAACUCCCAAACCCAUGUGAACAUUACCUCUAUGUUGCUUCGGCGGAGCCGCCCCGGCGCCCGGAACCCCCUGCGGUCCCGCGGCCCGGAACCAAGGCGCCCGCCGGAGGCCACAAACUCUUCUGUUUUUACAGUUUCUUCUGAGUGUGCCGCAAGGCAGUAUACAAAUGAAUCAAAACUUUCAACAACGGAUCUCUUGGUUCUGGCAUCGAUGAAGAACGCAGCGAAAUGCGAUAAGUAAUGUGAAUUGCAGAAUUCAGUGAAUCAUCGAAUCUUUGAACGCACAUUGCGCCCGCCAGAAUUCUGGCGGGCAUGCCUGUUCGAGCGUCAUUUCAACCCUCGAGCUCCCCUUUCGGGGGGAGCCCGGCGUUGGGGACCCGGCGCUAACAACGCCGGCCCCGAAAUGGAGUGGCGGCCCGUCCGCGGCGACCUCUGCGUAGUAACAACCACUCGCACCGGGACCCGGGCGCGGCCACGCCCUAAAACACCCCACCUUCCGAAUGUUGACCUCGAAUCAGGUAGGAAUACCCGCUGAACUUAAGCAUAUCAAUAAGCGGAGGA